GUAGGUGGCAAGCGUUGUCCGGAGUUAUUGGGCGUAAAGCGCGCGCAGGUGGUUCGUUUAAGUCUGAUGUGAAAGACCCCCGGGCUCAACCGGGGAGGGUCAUUGGAAACUGGGGAACUUGAGUGCAGGAGAGGAAGGUGGAAUUCCACGUGUAGCGGUGAAAUGCGUAGAUAUGUGGAGGAACACCAGUGGCGAAGGCGACUUUCUGGCCUGUAACUGACACUGAGGCGCGAAAGCGUGGGGAGCAAACAGGAUUAGAUACCCUGGUAGUCCACGCCGUAAACGAUGAGUGCUAAGUGUUCGGGGGGGUUUCCGCCCCUCAGUGCUGCAGCUAACGCAUUAAGCACUCCGCCUGGGGAGUACGGUCGCAAAGACUG
rnacentral:rRNA from 1 species